GUCCACGCCGUAAACGAUGAAUACUAGGUGUCGGGCCGUAUAGGCUCCGGUGCCGCCGCUAACGCAGUAAGUAUUCCACCUGGGGAGUACGUUCGCAAGAAUGAAACUCAAAGGAAUUGACGGGACCCGCACAAGCGGUGGAGCAUGUGGUUUAAUUCGAAGCAACGCGAAGAACCUUACCAGGUCUUGACAUCCUUCUGACCACUCCGUAAUGGGAGUUUUCCUUCGGGACAGAAGAGACAGGUGGUGCAUGGUUGUCGU
rnacentral:rRNA from 1 species